UACGUAGGGUGCAAGCGUUGUCCGGAAUUAUUGGGCGUAAAGGGCGCGUAGGCGGCCUGGCAAGUGGAAGGUGAAAUCCCUCGGCUUAACCGAGGAACUGCCCUCCAAACUGCUUGGCUUGAGUCCGGGAGAGGUGAGUGGAAUUCCCGAGUGUAGCGGUGAAAUGCGUAGAUAUUGGGAGGAACACCAGUGGCGAAGGCGGCUCACUGGACCGGAACUGACGCUGAGGCGCGAAAGCGUGGGGAGCAAAGCGGGGA
rnacentral:rRNA from 1 species